GACGAACGCUGGCGGCGUGCCUAAUACAUGCAAGUCGAACGCAGUGGGGUCGGGUGAUUAACACGUGGGUAACCUCCCAUCUGAGUGGAUAACCCUUGGAAACAGGUGCUAAACCGCUACUGAUGGAUGGUCCCGCGGUGCAUUAGCUAGUUGGUGGGGUAACGGCUCACCAAGGCGACGAUGCAUAGCUGGUCUGAGAGGAUGAUCGGCCACACUGGAACUGAGACACGGCCCAGACUCCUACGGGAGGCAGCAGUAGGGAAUAUUCGACAAUGGGCGAAAGUCUGACCGAGCAACGCCGCGUGUGUGAAGAAGGUUUUCGGAUCGUAAAACUCUGUUGUUAGGGAAGCGUUAUCUAAACAGAAAGCCACGGCUAACUCCGUGCCAGCAGCCGCGGUAAUAC
rnacentral:rRNA from 1 species